CUAACGUCUUUGUUAUAUUGUAUCUUCUAGUGACAUCAGUACAGAUCAUUACUGCACUAUUCUCUCUAACGUCUUUGUUGUAUUGUAUCUUCUUGCUAUAAACAAGUAGAAAAACUUCUGUAAAAGACAGUUUUCACUCGGCACAAAUUCUUCAGCGUUUUGCAGUUACAAAUACUAUACACACAGCAUACAACCACACACCAAAUACAGGCACUAACAGGAUCCAAAUCUGAUCUAAUUUGAUCUAUGCUCCUAUGGUGAUGUGUCAACACUGUUUCCCCUGUGUAUAAAACCUAUUAUAUCAUCUGCAUGUUCACAUUUAGACUGGUCUCCUACUGGCAGACAAACACACACUACCACAGACACACACACUACCACAGACACACACACUACCACAGACACACACUACCACAGACACACACACUACCACAGACACACACACUACCACAGACACACACUACCACAGACACACACACUACCACAGACACACACACUACCACAGACACACACUACCACAGACACACACACUACCACAGACACACACUACCAGAGACACACACACUACCACAGACACACACACACACACUACCACAGACAGACACACACACACACACACACACAAACACAAACACACAAACUUCCACGGAAACACACACUACCACAGACACACUAUCACAGACAUACACACACUACCACAGACACACACACACUACCACAGACACACACACACUACCACAGACACACACACACACACUACCACAGACACACACACUCCAAAAGACACACACACUACCACAGAUACACAAACACUACCACAGACAGACACACUACCACAGACAGACACACUACCACAGACACACACACAUGACAACAGACACUACCACACACUACCAGAGACACACACAGACUACCACAGACAUACACACACGACCAGACACACACACACACACUACCAGACACACACACUACCAGACACACACACACAAAUUACCACAAAUUACCACACACCCACUCCACCACAGACACACACUCCGCACACCUCCACCACAGACACAACCACAGAGACACACAAACACUACCACAGACACACACACAUUCCCCCCCCCCCCACACACACACACUACUACAGAAAAACAACCACAGAGACACACACUUCAACAGACACACUACCACAGACACACUACCACCGACACACACACUACCACAGACACACACACACACACACUACCACAGACACACACGCUACCACAGACACACACACACACACACCAACACACACACACCAACACCAACACACACAUGCACACACUGACUCCCACAGACACACACACCGACUACCACAGACACACACACCCACAGAGUGAGAAAGUCACUUCUAUGGAGUUUGUGUCUGCACAUAUUUGGAUAUAUACCCAAAAACCACAGCAUUCUGUUUUAUACAAUAUUCACAAUUUUGGUUUGGCAAAAACAUUG
rnacentral:lncRNA from 1 species